rnacentral:rRNA from 1 species
GAUGAACGCUGGCGGCGUGCCUAAUACAUGCAAGUCGAGCGAACAGACGAGGAGCUUGCUCCUCUGACGUUAGCGGCGGACGGGUGAGUAACACGUGGUUAACCUACCUAUAAGACUGGGAUAACUUCGUGAAACCGGGGCUAAUACCGGCUAAUAUAUUGAACCGCAUGGUUCAAUAGUGAAAGACGGUUUUGAUGUCAAUUAUAGAUGGAUCCGCGCCGCAUUAGCUAGUUGGUAAGCUAACGAAUUACCAAGCGAACUAUGGGUAGCCGACCUGAAAGCGUGAUCAGCCACACAACAACUGCAACACGGCCCAGAGUCCUACGGAAGGCAGCAGUAGGCAAUCUGCCGCAAUGGGCAUAAGCAUGACGGAGCAAGCCACCAUGAAUAAUGAAGGUCUCCGAAUCAGAAAGCUCUGUAAUCAGGGAAGAACAAAUCUCUAAGUAACUAUGCACGUCUUGACAGUACCUGAUCAGAAAGCCACGGCUAACUACGUG